UGGCGGACGGGUGGGGAGUGUCUGGGAAACUGCCUGAUGGAGGGGGAUAACUACUGGAACGGUAGCUAAUACCGCAUAACGUCGCAAGACCAAAGAGGGGGACCUUCGGGCCUCUUGCCAUCGGAUGUGCCCAGAUGGGAUUAGCUAGUAGGUGGGGUAACGGCUCACCUAGGCGACGAUCCCUAGCUGGUCUGAGAGGAUGACCAGCCACACUGGAACUGAGACACGGUCCAG
rnacentral:rRNA from 1 species